GGCUCUGACCAUGCCAGCAGGCUUCACGGUUCUCGUUUUCCAAAGAGGAACACAGAUUCAGCGAGCGGCUGCUGGCUUCUGACCCAUUUUGAUGUCAGGGCUUGGCACGUAGGAGGUGUUCAAUGUUGAUCGAUCCAAGGUCGUGCACAUAGGGUCUAAGACGGAAGAGAACUUCCUGCCCCUCUUGGAGCUUCUAUUUUAGAGGGAGACACGGCCAGACAGGUCUCGAACUCCUGGCCUCAAGUGAUCCGCACACCUUGGCCUCCCAAAAUGCUGGGAUUCCAGGCGUGAGCCACCGCGCCUGGCCUGUCCUAGGGAGAAUGAGCCUGAUGACUUUACCAUUUUCCACCUCUAAGAGCCAAUCGCAAAGGAGGCUGGCUGGCAUCUUGUGUCUGUCUAGCAUCUCUACCAGUUUCUGUAGAAAACCCUCAAGCUGUGCCAAGACGAUCAUGUCUGGACACAGCUCUUGGUGUCACGGGGUGUCUCCUCCUACUGCCUAUCGCCCUUUGCAGCCACCAGAAUAAUCAUGCAGCCAGGGCCCCAUAUUAUCUACCGCUGUCCAUCUGCUCUCCAGCACAUCAGAGCAGCCCUUCCCCUGUGUGAGAUUCCUCUCCAGGGCAAGACUUGAAGGGAGCAUCAAGGUUGCAGUGGAAGAAAUAAAUUGGAAGUGGAGCUG
ensembl:lncRNA CSE1L-DT CSE1L divergent transcript